rnacentral:rRNA from 1 species
GAUCCUGGCUCAGGACGAACGCUGGCGGCGUGCCUAACACAUGCAAGUCGAACGGAACUUUUUAAAAGAUUUCUUCGGAAUGAAUUUGAUUAAGUUUAGUGGCGGACGGGUGAGUAACGCGUGAGUAACCUGCCUCUGAGAGGGGAAUAACAUUCUGAAAAGAAUGCUAAUACCGCAUAACAUAUAUUUAUCGCAUGGUAGAUAUAUCAAAGAUUUAUCGCUUAGAGAUGGACUCGCGUCCGAUUAG